rnacentral:rRNA from 1 species
AUUGAACGCUCGCGGCAGGCCUAACACAUGCAAGUCGGGCGGAGCGGCGGACGGGUGAGUAAUAUAUGGGGACCUGCCCGAUGGAGGGGGAUAACUACUGUAAAAGGUAGCUAAUACCGCAUACCCUUUGAUCACCCCAUAUGGGAUUAGCUUGUAGGUUGGGUAACGGCUCACCUAGGCCACGAUCCCUAGCUGGUUUGAGAGGAUGGUCAGCCACACUGGAACUGAGACACGGUCCAGACUCCUACGGGAGGCAGCAGUGGGGAAUAUUGGACAAUGGGCGAAAGCCUGAUCCAGCCAUGCCGCGUGUGUGAAGAAGGUCUUCGGAUUGUAAAGCACUUUAAGUUGGGAGGCGUUACCAACAGAAUAAGCACCGGCUAACUUCGUGCCAGCAGCCGCGGUAAUUC